rnacentral:tRNA from 1 species
GGAAAGAUGACAGAGUGGCCGAUUGUGCACGCCUGGAAAGCGUGUGAUGUGCAAGCAUCCGGGGGUUCGAAUCCCCCUCUUUCCG